UUUGAAAAAAAAUUAUGAUUGGUUUGAGUAUAAGAUGAUUUUAAUCUCUUCACAUUAAAAACAUCAUUGCACCAUAAUUUAACGCUUAAUUUUUAUAGGUUAUAAAUACUUGUACACCGCUAUAACGUUAGUGAUUUCCAGAAUCUAAAGAGUCAUGACCUCUUUUCCUAAUUAUUUAUAGUCAACAACAAUUUCUAAUAAUAUUAAUAUAGAUCUAGAUCUAAUUCAAGUAUUCAAUUAUCCGUAUUAUAUUAAUUAAUUAUAUUAUUGGAUCUAGACUAGAUCUAGAUCUACUCAUUAACAGUUCAGUUAGAUCUAGAUUUGCUUUUUAUUUGGUGUUGAAGAUGAAGUUCACUCCCAGCAUGAAAAUUGCAGUAGGGUGGACUGUAGUUAUUGCUGUUGGUUUGAGCAGUUUUGUUUUAGCAAGGGACUCAGUGGUUAGCAACAGAAAAGCAUUGUUAGACAUGAAAAAAAGGAUACGAGACCAAGCAAAGAAAGAAGCAGAAAUUGAAAUGGAAAGAAAAGACAAAGAAAGAGAACUAAAUUCAGCUGCUAAAAUUGUUUGAUAGUUAUUGUAUGCUGUAUUUAUUGCAAUAUAGUUGAAAUGAAAUUUAAUAUUUUGAUAUGGUGCCCAUUGUUUUAAGUACAUUAAAAUUAAAUAUCUA